rnacentral:rRNA from 1 species
AGUGAACGCUGGCGGUAGGCCUAACACAUGCAAGUCGAACGGCAGCACAGAGGAGCUUGCUCCUUGGGUGGCGAGUGGCGGACGGGUGAGGAAUACAUCGGAAUCUACUCUGUCGUGGGGGAUAACGUAGGGAAACUUACGCUAAUACCGCAUACGACCUACGGGUGAAAGCAGGGGACCUUCGGGCCUUGCGCGAUUGAAUGAGCCGAUGUCGGAUUAGCUAGUUGGCGGGGUAAAGGCCCACCAAGGCGACGAUCCGUAGCUGGUCUGAGAGGAUAGUAAGCCACACUGGAACUGGAACACGGUCCAGGCUCCUACGGGAGGCAGAAGGGGGGCAUAUUGGACAAUGGGCGCAAGCCUGAUCCAGCCAGACCGCGUGGGUGAAGAAGGCCUUCGGGUUGUAAAGCCCUUUUGUUGGGAAAGAAAUCCAGCUGGCUAAUACCCGGUUGGGAUGACGGUACCCAAAGAAUAAGCACCGGCUAACUUCGUGCCAGCAGCCGCCGUAA